rnacentral:misc_RNA from 1 species
UGUUCGAGCGUCAUUACAACCCUCAAGCUCUGCUUGGUAUUGGGCCCUGCCAGUUCUGGCAGGCCUAAAUCAGUGGCGGUGCAUUUGGCUUCAAGCGUAGUAAUUCUUCUCGCUCCUGGAGACCAGGUGGAUGCUUGCCAACAACCCCCAAUAUAUCAAUGGUUGACCUCGGAUCAGGUAGGGAUACCCGCUGAACUUAA